GACGAACGCUGGCGGCGCGCCUAACACAUGCAAGUCGAACGGAGCUGCGAGAAGCUUGCUUUUCUUAGCUUAGUGGCGAACGGGUGAGUAACGCGUGAGUAACCUGCCCUGGAGUGGGGGACAACAGUUGGAAACGACUGCUAAUACCGCAUAAGCCCACGAUCCGGCAUCGGAUUGAGGGAAAAGGAUUUAUUCGCUUCAGGAUGGACUCGCGUCCAAUUAGCUAGUUGGUGAGGUAACGGCCCACCAAGGCGACGAUUGGUAGCCGGACUGAGAGGUUGAACGGCCACAUUGGGACUGAGACACGGCCCAGACUCCUACGGGAGGCAGCAGUGGGGGAUAUUGCGCAAUGGGGGAAACCCUGAUGCAGCGACGCCGCGUGGAGGAAGAAGGUUUUCGGAUUGUAAACUCCUGUCGUGAGGGACGAUAAUGACGGUACCUAACAAGAAAGCACCGGCUAACUACGUG
rnacentral:rRNA from 1 species